AUUGCAGCCUUUGCAGGUGGA
rnacentral:snRNA from 1 species